AGCAGCCGCGGUAAUUCCAGCUCCAAUAGCGUAUAUUAAAGUUGGUGCAGUUAAAAAGCUCGUAGUUGAAUUUCGGGAUCAAUAUGUUGGUCGUGCCUUGGUACGUACUGGCGUCAUUGAUUUCUACCUUCUGAAGAACCUCGAUGUCAUUAAUUUGGUGUCUUGGGGAAUCAGGACUGUUACUUUGAAAAAAUUAGAGUGUUUAAAGCAAGCUCACGCUUGAAUACAUUAGCAUGGAAUAAUGAAAUAGGACGUUUGAUUCUAUUUUGUUGGUUUCUAGGAUCGACGUAAUGAUUAAUAGGGAUAGUUGGGGGCAUUAGUAUUCAAUUGUCAGAGGUGAAAUUCUUGGAUUUAUUGAAGACUAACUACUGCGAAAGCAUUUGCCAAGGAUGUUUUCAUUAAUCAAGAACGAAAGUUAGGGGAUCGAAGACGAUCAGAUACCGUCGUAGUCUUAACCAUAAACUAUGCCGACUAGGGAUCGGAUGAUGUUAAUUUUUUCAAUGACUCAUUCGGCGCCUUA
rnacentral:misc_RNA from 1 species